UGCCUGUUACAUUCCCUGGCCUCUGAGUGU
rnacentral:piRNA from 1 species